GAUCAUGGCUCAGAUUGAACGCUGGCGGCAUGCCUUACACAUGCAAGUCGAACGGCAGCACGGGAGCUUGCUCCUGGUGGCGAGUGGCGAACGGGUGAGUAAUACAUCGGAACGUACCCUGAAGUGGGGGAUAACGUAGCGAAAGUUACGCUAAUACCGCAUAUUCUGUGAGCAGGAAGGAGGGGGAUCGCAAGACCUCUUGCUUUAGGAGCGGCCGAUGUCGGAUUAGCUAGUUGGUGAGGUAAAGGCUCACCAAGGCGACGAUCCGUAGCGGGUCUGAGAGGAUGAUCCGCCACACUGGGACUGAGACACGGCCCAGACUCCUACGGGAGGCAGCAGUGGGGAAUUUUGGACAAUGGGCGCAAGCCUGAUCCAGCCAUGCCGCGUGAGUGAAGAAGGCCUUCGGGUUGUAAAGCUCUUUCGGUGGGGAAGAAAUUGCUUCGGUUAAUACCUGGAGUAGAUGACGGUACCCGCAUAUGAAGCACCGGCUAACUACGUG
rnacentral:rRNA from 1 species